rnacentral:rRNA from 1 species
UACGUAGGGUCCGAGCGUUGUCCGGAAUUACUGGGCGUAAAGAGCUCGUAGGUGGUUUGUCGCGUUGUCCGUGAAAACUCACAGCUCAACUGUGGGCGUGCGGGCGAUACGGGCAGACUGGAGUACUGCAGGGGAGACUGGAAUUCCUGGUGUAGCGGUGAAAUGCGCAGAUAUCAGGAGGAACACCGGUGGCGAAGGCGGGUCUCUGGGCCGAUACUGACGCUGAGGAGCGAAAGCGUGGGGAGCAAACAGG